rnacentral:rRNA from 1 species
AAUCUUUCGCAAUUGGCGAAAGCCUGACGCAGCCAUGCCGCGUGAAUGACGAAGGUCUUAUGAUUGUAUAAUUCUUUCACCGGGGACGAUAAUGACGGUACCCGGCGUACAAGCCCCUGCUAAAUUCGUGCCAGCAGCCGCGGUAAUACGAAGGGGGCUAGCGUUGCUCGGAAUUACUGGGCGUAAAGGGCGCGUAGGCGGACAUUUAAGUCAGGGGUGAAAUCCCAGAGCUCAACUCUGGAACUGCCUUUGAUACUGGGUGUCUUGAGUGUGAGAGAGGUAUGUGGAACUCCGAGUGUAGAGGUGAAAUUCGUAGAUAUUCGGAAGAACACCAGUGGCGAAGGCGACAUACUGGCUCAUUACUGACGCUGAGGCGCGAAAGCGUGGGGAGCAAACA